AUGGCUAUGAUAGCAUUCAUCGCGUUAACAAUCUUCUGGAAAAGCAAUAUGCAUCGCGAUUCAUUGACUGAUGGAGGGUUAUAUCUGGGGGUGUUGUUUUUCUUUGUGGGUGAAACCAUGUUCAGCAAUUUAGGUGACCUUGGCGGAACUAUCAUGAAACUGCCACUUUUCUUUAAGGAAAGGGAUGUUUUCUAUCCGGCAUGGGCGUACACUUUGCCUCAAUGGAUUCUUAAGAUUCCCAUCACCCUUGUUGAAAUCACAAUAUUGGUUUCCAUGACAUAUUAUGCAGUUGGGUUUGACCCAAAUAUUGGGAGGUUCUUCAAGCAAUAUUUUUUGCUUCUAGCACUAAGUCAGAUGUCAUCUUCCUUGUUCCGGUUGAUUGCUGGAGUAACGAGAAACAUGUUUGCGGCAAACAUCUUUGGAACAUUUACAAUGCUUUUGCUUUUGCUGUUAGGUGGAUUUUUGCUUUCUAGCGAAAACUUCAACAAGUUUUGGUUGCUUGGAUACUGGAUCUCACCAUUGAUGUAUGCACAAACUGCAAUUUCGACAAAUGAAUUUACAUCUCACCGCUGGAGUAAAGCACUUCCUAGGUCAACAGAGCCAUUAGGAACAAGUGUCUUGAAAUCUCGAGGGAUAUUUGUGGAGGCAAAAUGGUACUGGAUUGGCUUAGGUGUACUGAUUGGAUACACAAUUAUAUUUAAUGGCCUCUACACCGCAGCUUUUACAUACUUCAAAACACAUGGUAGAGGCUUUUCAUCAUUGACAAACAAGGCACUAGACAAAAAAUUUGCAAAACUGAGUAGGGAUGCUCCCUUAAAAAGAUCUCACCAAAAAAGAGUAAUGAAUGAAAUGGAGAGUCCUACAAACAACGGAAGGGUAUCGCUUCCAUUUGUGCCACUUUCACUUACCUUUGACAACAUAAGGUAUUCAGUAGACAUGCCAAAGGAAAAUAAAGCACGGGGUGAGACAAAAGAUCGUUUGGAAAUACUAAAGGGUGUGAGUGGUUGCUUUAGACCAGGUGUGCUGACUGCAUUAAUGGGCAUUAGUGGUGCCGGAAAAACAACGUUGAUGGAUGUGUUAGCAGGAAGGAUAACCGGAGGCUACAGAGAGGGGACAAUAACUAUCUCGGGCUACCAAAAGAAGCAAGAAACCUUUUGUCGUAUAUUUGGAUACUGUGAGCAGUCAGAUAUCCACUCUCCACACUUGACUAUUCUUGAGUCACUUCUAUUCUCCGCGUGGCUUCGAUUACCAUCAGAAAUUGACUCAUUAACAAGAAGGAUAUUUGUUGAGGACGUGUUGGAGAUCUUGGAGCUCACAUCAUUGGGAGGUGCACAAGUUGGAUAUCCUGGAGGAUAUGGUCUCUCAAUUGAGCAACGGAAGAGGCUGACCAUUGCAGUAGAGCUUGUAGCUAAUCCUUCUAUUAUUUUCAUGGACGAGCCAACAUCGGGGCUUGAUGCUAGGGCUGCAGCAAUUGUAAUGAGGACUGUCAGGAACCUGGUGGACACUGGUAAAACUGUUGCCUGCACCAUUCACCAGCCAAGCAUAGACAUAUUUGAAACUUUCGAUGAGCUUUUUCUACUGAACCGAGGAGGGGAGGAGAUCUAUGUUGGUCCACUGGGCGAGCAAUCUUUGAAUAUGAUCACAUACUUUGAGGGAAUAGGCGUUAAUAGGAUACAAGAUGGGUAUAACCCCGCAACUUGGAUGUUGGAGGUAACCUCAACAUUACAAGAGCAAAUGUUGGGGAUUAAUCUUUCUGUAAUAUUCAAACAAUCAGAGCUAUAUCAGAAGAACAAGGCCUUGAUAAAGGAACUAAGUAUGCCUCCUCCUAGCUCAACCGAUCUCCAUUUUCCUGAUGAGUAUUCACAAUCUUUAGUGAAGCAAUGCUUAAUAUGCUUAUGGAAGCAAAACUUAUCAUAUUGGAGGAACAUUCAUUACACUGGGAGUAGAUAUUGUAUCACCAUAAUCAUAGCACUGCUUUUUGGCACGGUAUUCUGGGACCUUGGAAUGAAAAGGUGGGUUUUUCAAUUAUCACCUGAUUGUUAUUUGUUCCUGUAUUGUGGUCUCCACAUUGUAAAAUGUUUCUCUACACCUUACAGAGCGAGACGACAAGAUUUGUUCAAUUCCAUGGGGUCCAUGUACGCUGCCAUUCUAAUGAUCGGUAUUUCGAAUGCAUCGGGUGUCCAACCGGUGAUUGCAAUGGAAAGAAUAGUGUUCUACAAGGAAAGAGCAUCUCAAAUGUACUCAUCCCUACCGUAUACAUUUGCACAGGUUGUAAUUGAGCUCCCAUACGUACUCGUUCAAUCUCUUAUUUAUGGAGUUUUGGUGUAUGCAAUGAUAGGAUUUGAGUGGACUGCAACCAAAUUCUUUUGGUACUUGUUCUUCAUGUACUUCACAUUCUUGUACUUCACAUUCUUUGGGAUGAUGGCUGCGGGACUUUCACCCAGUGGUGGUAUCGCAGCAAUUAUAUCAUCUGCAUCCUAUGGCCUAUGGAACUUGUUCUCUGGGUUUCUCAUCCCAGUUUCUAGAAUUCCUAUCUGGUGGAGUUGGUAUUACUGGAUAUGCCCGGUUGCAUGGACAUUGUAUGGUCUAGUCACUUCACAAUUUGGGGAUGUCGAGGAGAAACUUGAGACUGAUGAGACUGUAGCAGAGUUCCUGAGGAGCUACUAUGGUUUCAAGCAUGAAUUCUUGGGAGUGAUUGCCACAGUGACUAUGGGAUGCACUGUGGCUUUCGCCCUCUUGUUUGGCUUUUCUAUCAAGUAUAUCAACUUCCAAAGGAGAUGA
rnacentral:rRNA from 1 species